rnacentral:lncRNA from 1 species
CUCACGAGACCUGACGGUUUUAUGAGGGGCUUUUCCCUCUUUUGCUCAGCAUUUCUCCUUGCUGCCGCCAGGUGAAGAAGGACGUGUUUGCUUCCCUUUCUGCCAUGAAUGUUUCCUGAGGCCUCUCCAGCCCUGUGGAAAUAAAUGAUUAUUAUUCUUCAAGAAGAAAUCCACUAACAGCAUCCUUUUCAGAAUGAAGAUCUGAAAAGGAAGAGAUUAUCUCCUCUUUAAUGCUGUAUCCCAAAGCCUAGAAGAACCAGAGACUUACUAGCUAAUCAAUAAAUAUUGCUGAGUAAAUAAAUGACAGACAUUUGCAUGCAGGCCUCAAGGAGCAGCUGAAGUGAUAGAGGUAGAAUGAGGCAAUAAAUUAUUAGCAAAGAGAGCGGAGUAUUUACAGGCAGCGAUAUACUAAUGAACCUAAAAAUUUGGAGAAUAUUUGGAAAAAUAAAAGAGCUUGCAUCCCUGGAAUGCAACGAAAAGAAAAGUGCUCAAAAAGUGAUAAUAUACACAGUGUCAAUUUGUUCACUGCUUUUUUGGAAUGUUUGAAAUUUAUUGUAAGUAGAUCAUUUAUCCAUUAGAGUGACUAAGUGUUUUAAGAGUAUAGUUCUAUAAUCCCAUUCAAUUAGCUUUUAUUUAAUGGGUUCCUUCUGGUGGUGGACAUUUGAGUUGUUUACAGUUAUUAAGAAUAAAACUACUAUAAACAUAUAUCAACAA